UUCAUGUUAAUUCUUUCACAAUUAUGAUCAAUGUUUGAUAAUAUCGAACACUUUAGAAACAUAAAACAUUAUUCUUUGAGCGAAUAUAACGUCUGAUCAUGGCCAUCAUUUUAUUCUCUUUUAUCACUGACCACACUCGUUCUCUCUCUCUGAGAUCACCAAUCGCCUUUAAAUCCACUCAUAUCCAUGUGUCGAGCGAAGCUGAACUCGACGGCGUAAAGCAAUAUCUUAAGACGUUGAUGACAUCGUCAUCGUAUCCUGCAUUUUUCAUGCCGACUUCUAACCUCCCACUUUCAACAUAAAAACGGAGCGAAUGUAUAUUUCCAUCGGCGUCACCUCAAAACUGUGCACUCAUAUCUUGGAAAGACUUUUUAAAAUCGCGAUUACAAAAAUUUAGUAUUCUUUAAUAAAUUCUGUACAUUUAUUUGGGACAAUAAAAGAUAAACUGUGGCGAAGUAAGGAUAUGGGAUGUUAAAAAUAAUAACGCUACCCACGCGAUAGCUCGACGAAAAUCCUGUCGGCGCCCAUGUGCGUGUGCCCCACUACCGUUUCUACGAUUGUGUCAGUCUGAUUUCUUGUCGGUGUCGGCAUCGCCACUCGUGGGAUGCUGCCAACUAGCGAGGUUCGCCGUCACGCACGGCCUCAAGAGUGCCGACCAUCAGGGACUGGGAUAUUUCUAGUCUGGCUCCUCUCGCGGACUUAGUAUCCGAGUAUCGUGUGUGCAUAGUGCAUCUACGCGUCGCGGCCGAGUGUUUCGCCCCGAUAUAUAUUUAAUUCGCGUUCGUUUUAAUCCUGACGAGCGUCGGGUGUCGUGUCGAUUCGGUGACGAAUGUGAGAGCCGGUGAUAUGGCCGAGAGAAAAGCCAUAACGCCGAGACGGAAACGGCUCAACGACCCUUCUGGGUCAAGGCCGUCGGAAAGGUCGAAUGUACCGAAGGAACCGGCGAGACCGCCGCGAACGAGGACGCAGCAGACCGUAUAUGUGACGCCGAUUAACAAUUCCGAUUUCGGAAAUGGCAUGCAACGUAGCGUGUUUGUGGAAGCGCAGCAGAAGCCGACCGAGAAGGCCCCGAUGACGACCCUCGACGAGAACGUGAACCGUGUACCACGACAACAGCAUAAGACAACCGAAAAUAUGGGUGAGUUGCUUUUCUAAGUCGGCUUAAGUAUUUGUC